rnacentral:rRNA from 1 species
GUCCACGCCGUAAACGAUGAGUGCUAAGUGUUAGAGGGUUUCCGCCCUUUAGUGCUGCAGCAAACGCAUUAAGCACUCCGCCUGGGGGAGUACGGUCGCAAGACUGAAACUCAAAGGAAUUGACGGGGGCCCGCACAAGCGGUGGAGCAUGUGGUUUAAUUCGAAGCAACGCGAAGAACCUUACCAGGUCUUGACAUCCUCUGACAACCCUAGAGAUAGGGCGUUCCCCUUCGGGGGACAGAGUGACAGGUGGUGCAUGGUUGUCGU